rnacentral:rRNA from 1 species
CCUACGGGUGGCAGCAGUGGGGAAUAUUGGACAAUGGGGGCGACCCUGAUCCAGCCAUGCCGCGUGUGUGAAGAAGGCCCUCGGGUUGUAAAGCACUUUCAGUGAGGAAGAACGCCUGGUGGUUAAUACCCAUCAGGAAAGACAUCACUCACAGAAGAAGCACCGGCUAACUCCGUGCCAGCAGCCGCGGUAAUACGGAGGGUGCGAGCGUUAAUCGGAAUUACUGGGCGUAAAGCGCGCGUAGGUGGCUUGAUAAGCCGGUUGUGAAAGCCCCGGGCUCAACCUGGGAACGGCAUCCGGAACUGUCAAGCUAGAGUGCAGGAGAGGAAGGUAGAAUUCCCGGUGUAGCGGUGAAAUGCGUAGAGAUCGGGAGGAAUACCAGUGGCGAAGGCGGCCUUCUGGACUGACACUGACACUGAGGUGCGAAAGCGUGGGUAGCAAACAGGAUUAGAUACCCUAGUAGUC